CCCGGGGACGUUAUCCGGAAUUAAUUGGGCGUAAGAGAGUGCAGGCGGUUUUCUAAGUCUGAUGUGAAAGCCUUCGGCUUAACCGGAGAAGUGCAUCGGAAACUGGAUAACUUGAGUGCAGAAGAGGGUAGUGGAACUCCAUGUGUAGCGGUGGAAUGCGUAGAUAUAUGGAAGAACACCAGUGGCGAAGGCGGCUACCUGGUCUGCAACUGACGCUGAGACUCGAAAGCAUGGGUAGCGAACAGGAUUAGAUACCCUGGUAGUCCAUGCCGUAAACGAUGAGUGCUAGGUGUUGGAGGGUUUCCGCCCUUCAGUGCCGGAGCUAACGCAUUAAGCACUCCGCCUGGGGAGUACGACCGCAAGGUUGAAACUCAAAGGAAUUGACGGGGGCCCGCACAAGCGGUGGAGCAUGUGGUUUAAUUCGAAGCUACGCGAAGAACCUUACCAGGUCUUGACAUCUUGCGCCAACCCUAGAGAUAGGGCGUUUCCUUCGGGAACGCAAUGACAGGUGGUGCAUGGUCGUCGUCAGCUCGUGUCGUGAGAUGUUGGGUUAAGUCCCGCAACGAGCGCAACCCUUGUUACUAGUUGCCAGCAUUAAGUUGGGCACUCUAGUGAGACUGCCGGUGACAAACCGGAGGAAGGUGGGGACGACGUCAGAUCAUCAUGCCCCUUAUGACCUGGGCUACACACGUGCUACAAUGGACGGUACAACGAGUCGCGAACUCGCGAGGGCAAGCAAAUCUCUUAAAACCGUUCUCAGUUCGGACUGCAGGCUGCAACUCGCCUGCACGAAGUCGGAAUCGCUAGUAAUCGCGGAUCAGCAUGCCGCGGUGAAUACGUUCCCGGGCCUUGUACACACCGCCCGUCACACCAUGAGAGUUUGUAACACCCAAAGUCGGUGGGGUAACCUUUUAGGAGCCAGCCGCCUAAGGUGGGACAGAUGAUUAGGGUGAAGUCGUACAAGGGUAACGGAAAAAAAAAAA
rnacentral:rRNA from 1 species